rnacentral:rRNA from 1 species
AUUGAACGCUGGCGGCAUGCCUUACACAUGCAAGUCGAACGGUAACACGUCUUCGGAUGCUGACGAGUGUCGCACGGGUGUGUAUUACAUCUGAACGUGCCCCGACUUGUGGGUUAACGAGUCGAAAGCUUUGCUAAUACCCCAUACGAUCUAAGUAUGUAAGCAGGGGACCCCAAGGCCUUUCGCGUUUUUAGCGGCCGCUGUCUGAUUAGGUAGUUGGUGGGGUAAAAGCUUACCAAGCCGACGAUCUGUAGCUGGUCUGAGAGGACGACCAGCAACACUGGGACUGAGACACGGCCCAGACUCCUACGGGAGGCAGCAGUGGGGAAUUUUGGACAAUGGGCGAAAGCCUGAUCCAGCAAUGCCGCGUGCAGGAAGAAGGCCUUCGGGUUGUAAACUGCUUUUGUACGGAAAGAAAAGGAUCUGGCUAAUACCUGGGGGAGAUGACGGUACCGGAAGAAUAAGCACCGGCUAACUACGUG